ACAACCAUAAGUUAAUGGUAAACUUUUCGUUUACCAUACGAAGAUUGUUGGUUCGAUUCCGACUGGUUGUG